CCCAAACAAAACUGUAAUUGGACAUGUGAAAUGUGUACAUUAGCAUUACAUGAAGUACUUUAUUCCAAAGAUUUUUUUAUAUUUUUUUAAUGUCUAGCCACAAAUUACUAUUAAAAUGAAGAAAAUAACAUGGGUAUACUGUAAAAAUGGGUAUACCAUACAAAUGUCAUUGCAUAUUAAAAUUCUGUUUAGUUUUUAUGUUUCCUAUGGCUCUUUCCAUUGUCUAAAUCUACAAAAGCAGGUGUUUUGAAUGGAAAAUUAAGAACACUUUUAUCAGGCAUCCUGUUGAACACCACUUCCUGUACCUUAUACCUGGUACAUACUGCAAUAUGAUGGCACAUCCCACUGUGACACCAGUGGUGCAAGUGUAUUUUUUAAUCAAGAAAAUUCCUAGAGCUAACCAAUUCAUAUAGUUGAAACAUAGGGGAUCUGGACACAUUUGGACAGGAUGCUAAUCUUAGCCCACUUCUCAUUGCUGCUUAUUUGGGGAAGCCAAGGUAAAAUAAAUUCCUCAACUUUUUUACUUGAUGUGUUUUCAGUUUCUGGCAAAAAGAUGAUAAUCAAAUGUCCUCAAUCUAUACAUUUAUAUCCACGGCCUACUGACUGAAGAAUUGUUGCCUUAAUUUAUGCCCUUUUCAUUAGAUUCAGUAACCUGUACCGACCUGCAGAAACAGCGUGAAGUCAUCCAUGCAGCAGUUGGAGAAUCUUUAGUGUUGAACUGCACCUACAACUGCUCCUCUGGAUUUGUCCGUGGACACUGGGUCAAACUCCCAGACUGUCCUCAUUGUCCUAGGCCAAGGGAAACAAAAAAUGUCACAAAGAAUGGUGACCUCUGCACACUACCAUUGUAUUUUCCACAUCUGUCCAGGGAAGAUUUUCAGUACAACUAUACCUGCUUUUCUGAAGAUCAUGAAAGUGAACAGUUCCCAAGCAAGAUAGAGUGUCUGGUAUCACUGCAGGCACAAGCUCGACCUAGUGCCUCGGACACAACGGACACUACUGAUGAAUCGAUGACAACGUUGGGUAACCAUGAGGACUCAAUAAUAGAUCACGAGAAAUUCACAGGCGUCAAGGUGUUGGCAACAGUGACCGUUAUUGUGGCUGCGGUGUCGGCAGCCGUGGCUGUCUCCUUAUGUAUGAGCCGCAAUCGAUAUUGCAAAGGAAAACCUGCUGUUAUCUGUACAGGAUAUGUUUUUUUUUCUUCAUACAAUGUGCACAACAUCAAGAGAAGGAUCAGGUGCAUGCUCAACCAAUUGUGA
rnacentral:lncRNA from 13 species